UAUCCAUCUUCAAUGCGAAACACUAGCUAGCUAGUCAAAAUGCCCUAAAAGAUUUCUGACCGGAUUUCGUUGAUAAAAUGUUCAUAAUCCUCACUGCUACUGAGAGCAAGCUAUCUAACAUGACCUAACCUGACAGGAAGACUAGCCAGCUAGUUUUUGUGACCUAACCUUACAGGAUAUUUAAGCCAAUAUUCAAAAAUAUUCAAAAUCUUCAUUGCUAACACUAGCCAGCUAGCUAAUAUGAGCAAACCUGACAGGAUUUUUUUUUUUUUUUUUUUUUUUAUACAUCAUAUUCAAAAAUACUCAAAAUCUUCAUUGCUAACACUAGCCAGCUAGCUUAUAUGACCUAACCUGACAGGAUAUUUAAGACAAUAUUUAAAAUAUUUGCAGUUAAAGCUACCAAGCUAGCUAACCUGACAGGAUUUUUAGAUCAUGUUCAUGAAUACUUGUAAACUUCACUGCUAAUAUUACCCAGAUAGCUUAUAUGAGCUACCCUCUGAAGUUGUUUUGUUAAUGUUUAAGAACUGUAUUACCCGCUAAUAUUAGGUAGCUGGCUAAUAGGAUUUAACAUGACAGGUCAUAUUAAUGAAUACCCAUAUUCGACACUAACUAGCUGGCUAACAUGAGUUAAAGGAUUGGUUGAAAGAUGUGUCUUUGAGGUCAGAGCUUCCCUCUAGUUCUCCUUGCUCUCCUCUUUCCUCUUUCUCUCCAUCUGUCUCUGGUGGUGUGGUGUUGUGAAUUUAAGCCCCACCAAACUGAUCACUCUUUCUGAGCUAGGCUUAAGGAGAACAGCAGCUCGAUGUGAUUGGGCUAAUAGCUUACGCUCGUGAAACGCGGUGACAGAGACUGAGAGGAUUAUUGCUCAAUCAAUAUCUGUUUAUUGGAAGAAAGGAGGAGCUAUAAAGUACAUAGGGAAGAGGGAGCGUGACAUUCCUGUGUUGUUUUAUCGUCUUGGACGAUGUAGUGCUUUAGGUCUGUUUAUGUGGAUUUAUGGGCAACCAGGAAGUGCUACUGUCAGCAAUGUGGUGCAAGCAGACUGGAAAUAGAAAUAACGUGUUAAAAGUAGUUAUAUCCCACACAUUGAAGUGUACACAGGUAUCCAGUGUGCAAAGAGAAGAGAGACAGGUAGAUAAUAAAAAGGCGAUUCUUUGCCCCUACGCCAAUCCCCAAAGCUUCAUACGGAUAGCCUGAAAGCAGUCGGUUCCUCUGUAAUUCGAGAAUUUGGUAAUAUUGGUAGGGUUCAGGGAUUUUAAUUGAAUCGCUGUUAUGCCACAGCUAAUCUGUUUCUCUGUGUGUGUUUGAUCUGGCCUGAAAGGGGAGAGAUACAGAGAGACAGAUGAGUAGAUCAUGGCUGAUGGAUGCCACUCAUGAGGAUACGAGAGAGAGAACGAUGAGUUGCGAUGCUACGAGUCUCCAUAUGGAGAGGAUGGUCUGUUGGCCGGCCGGCGACGGCCAUAUGGAGGGCAGGUUGGCACUUUGGCAGCAGCUACAGCAUGCACCUGCAGUAGAAGCAAGCUCGCGCCAGGAGUGGCCCCGCCCCUCUGCCAGACUUCAUUUUUAACUCCACUUUUUUUCCCAUCACCCCCCUGCGUUCUUUAUUGACCCACCAGCAUUGCUCACAGACAGUGGGGGGGAACGCAAACACAGCAAGGAGCCUCUCUCCUUCUUUCUUUUCCCUCUUUUUCUCCCCCCUUCCUCUUUCUGGGUCUCACACUCCUUCUUAACCCCUCAGCAUUCUCCUAUUUUUCUUCAGAUCAAGGUUGGCCUUGCUGCACUGUUGGUGUUACAAAGCGGGUGACUCAGUUACUGAGUUAGCGUGAGGAGACAAACAAUUUCUCUUUUUUUCCACCCUCAUCCUUUUAUUUGCUCUUACUAUUUUUUUCUAACUUUCACAAUUCUCCUGACAUCAUCACAGGUUAAUUUCAGGGAGGAUGAUUCACAAUAAUGACAUUUGAAGGGUUAUGUUUGCAAUCUUGUGGCUAGCUAGCUAGCCUAAGUAAUUAGGAAGCUUGAGGCAGUGUCAUCAGUAAAGAAAUGGUAUAGCCUGUUGUAGGAGUAGAUUAAAAUGGUCAUUUUCAUGUGCACUUUCAGACGUGAAUAGAAAAAAACAAAAACAUUUAGCGUUCAUUAUAACAAAUAUGUAGUAUGACUUAACCUGAAGUCAGUAUUUUCUGAGGGGAUUGAAAUCUUAAUUAAAAGAGUCAGAGAGCUCCCUGAUCAUUUUUCUCAUCAUCAUAAAAACUCACAAUCUUCACUGUUAACACUAGCCAGCUAGCUAAUAUGAGCUAACCUGACAGGAUUUUUUUUACAUCAUAUUCAUGAAAACUCAAAAUCUGUAGUACUAAACACUAGCCAGCUAGCUAAUAUGAGCUAACCUGACAGGAUUUUUUAAGUCAUAUUCAUGAAUACGCAAUUUUUUUAGUGCUAAACACUAGCCAGCUAGCUAAUAUGAGCUAACCUGACAGGAUUUUUUAAGUCAUAUUCAUAAAUACUCAAAUGUGUUAGUGCUAAACACUAGCCAGCUAGCUAAUAUGAGCUAAC
ensembl:lncRNA